AGAGUUUGACCUGGCUCAGAUUGAACGCUGGCGGCAGGCCUAACACAUGCAAGUCGAGCGGAUGACGGGAGCUUGCUCCUUGAUUCAGCGGCGGACGGGUGAGUAAUGCCUAGGAAUCUGCCUGGUAGUGGGGGACAACGUUUCGAAAGGAACGCUAAUACCGCAUACGUCCUACGGGAGAAAGCAGGGGACCUUCGGGCCUUGCGCUAUCAGAUGAGCCUAGGUCGGAUUAGCUAGUUGGUGGGGUAAUGGCUCACCAAGGCGACGAUCCGUAACUGGUCUGAGAGGAUGAUCAGUCACACUGGA
rnacentral:rRNA from 1 species